rnacentral:misc_RNA from 1 species
CCCUGCCAAAUAUAGCAGUAGCAUCUGAAUAGCACAAAUGUAUAGCAGUAGCAGUACAUAGAUCUGAAAUAUUCUUAUGGACAAAAUUCAUAACAACUCAACUUAUAAAGCCAUGCUUCCUACGGCCUCUCAAUGCCUUAAAAAAAUAAGGAGAGAAAAAAAAAGCAUGAUAAUAAACAUGGCAGUAUAAAAAUAUUGCCAUUGAAAAGGAG